CUCUUCCUGGGGCUCAGCGUCGGAGUCUCAGCGCCCUGCAGACACGGAGGCUGGGGCUUCUUGGCCUCAGGCACAUGUCAUGUGGCCUGUGCUUUGGACCGUGGUGCGUACCUAUGCUCCCUAUGUCACAUUCCCUGUGGCCUUUGUGGUCGGGGCUGUGGGCUACCACCUGGAAUGGUUCAUCAGAGGGAAGGAUCCCCAGCCUGUGGAGGAGGAGAAGAGCAUCUCAGAGCGCCGGGAGGACCGCAAGCUGGAUGAGCUGCUAGGCAAGGACCACACCCAGGUGGUGAGCCUUAAGGACAAGCUGGAAUUUGCCCCUAAAGCUGUCCUGAACAGAAACCGACCGGAGAAGAAUUAACGAAGGACACAGGGCCCUAUGGGUCCUUCAGUGGGCCUUGUCUGGCCCUGCCACCAUGUCGACCCAGCUCUAGAACCCACAUCUGAUUUGCUUUAUUGCUUCUGGCCCCUCUCGCCCCACACAGCCACACACUCUGGCUGCUCUGCUGCGGCCAGGCAGACGCGCUGGUAGCUGAGGGGCCAGUGAAGAGGAAGGCUCACGAGGGUUCUGACCUGAAAGUUGCAUCUGCUGGUUGGUGGCCACCGCUGCUCAGGCUUCUGCGCUGCUGGGUGCACCACUGGGAGGAGUUAUGAGAUGAACACUGGCUCUCAGUCCCUUCGGGGAAGCAGUUCGGCCCCAAGGGGGAGUGGCUGGGAUUGGGGGUUGUCUUUAGGAGGGAUACCUACAUGUCUAGUUCCAGUUCGCACUGGGAGGAGGUCACAGAUCUGCCUGGCUUGCCCUGUCCUUUGUGCUCAUUCUCCCUCCAGUCCUGGCCUAGCACUCAGGCAGGGAUUCCCCUGGGAAGGAAAGCCCUUUUGUUCUUGGGAGCCCAGGCUGUUCACCUUGGGGCAUGUGACUUCGCUUGAAAACAGUCACUACCUUUCACCCCCCCAUCACUGUUCAGAGCAAAACUUGAUUAAAGUGGUGUCUGAGAACCA
ensembl:lncRNA